UACCCCUGUAGCAGAGAGACACCUUAGUGGUGGUGUGGGUCUUAUAUUAGUAAGGGGCAGAGCAAAUGGCAGUUUGUUCAUCCUAUUAUUGAUGUUUGACUUGGUAGCCAAAAUUGUUUAAUACCUAGGACACAUAA